rnacentral:ribozyme from 1 species
UGCCCAGCAACUCCUGUCCAUACCUCCUCGCGGUACUGGUUGGGGUACGAGUAACCUUAGAGAAGAUCGGGUAACUAAUCCCCGGUGGGAUCUUUGGUGCUGACAGGGAAGG